AUUUUUACCCAGGAAAUAACACUUUUUUUUUUUUUAAAGACAAAGAAUUACCCAGAUUGGUGACAAUAUUGACUCAAAAACCAUCAACUGGAUGUUUGCUCCCAUGUAUGGCUGGAUUCCCGCUUGUUCACUAUGUCUGCAAAUGAAGGGGCUGUUCCUUCACCUUGGGGCCCAAGGUGAAAAGGUAUACAGAGCCAACCUGAAGACAUUUCGACCCCUGGAGCAAAGCCAUGGCUGACCUGCCGCCUUCAUGUAACCAAAACAAGAAAUUGAGGUUUGAUGUGGUAGCCUCUGAGAUUUUAGAAUUGCUUGUAAUCCAGCAAUACAUUUUUCUAUUAUAGAUGAUAAUAUCUCAUAAAGCAUAGCACAGCAGUGUGUUUACUACAAAAUCUUGAAUCUGGGUUAAGAGCAUGCCCUAGAUUCCACACCGUGGGGUAGAGGUGAAUGGGUGAAUGGGUGAGGACUUAGGGGCGGUGUUAAAAAAUUCAGGAAGAUGCCUCUAAAAGGCACUAUUAUGGGAGAAGGCAAAUAGAACUUCGGAAAUGGGGUGGUGGGAUGAGAGAAUGGGGUGAGACGGUAGAGAUGGAAGAAAGUGCACGGGAAAGGCAUAAUGCAAGUUUGCAUGCAGGCCUGGACAAGAUGGAGAAAGAGAGGAAGAUGCAGAGGAAGGAAGGCCCACGUAGUUCAAGAAUAGUGCAGAAAUGCUUUUCUCAGCCACCACUGGUGUCCUUUCUCUUCUUAAAAAUGAUGCUGGCAUUACUUCUUUCUCAAGUGCACUUCUCACCUCAUUUCCUUAGCCACCUGGAGACCACACUUUAGAUCCCACUGUCUUAGUGGGUUGAUGAAUCAGCAUCCAAUUGAGGAACUGAAAUUGGACCAGCUGGGUGUUUACAAGCUCAAUUGGAAAGCAGACAUUGAACUAGCUCUUAGAUUUCCAGUAAGUUUUCCCCUUUUGUGAAUGU
rnacentral:lncRNA from 1 species